rnacentral:rRNA from 1 species
GAUGAACGCUGGCGGCGUGCCUAAUACAUGCAAGUCGAGCGAGCAGAUGAGGAGCUUGGUCCUCUGACGUUGUCGGCGGAGGGGUGAGUAACACGUGGAUAACCUACCUAUAAGACUGGGGUAACUACGGGAAACCGGAGCUAAUACCGGAUAAUAUAUUGAACCGGAUGGUGCAAUAGUUAAAGACGGUUUUGGGUUCAGUUAAAGAUUGAUCAGGCGCGCAUUAGCAGGUUGGUAAGGUAACGGCUUAGCCAGGCAAGGAUGGUGAGACGCCCCGAGCGGGUGAUCGCCCACACUGGAAGUGAGACACGUUCCACACUCCUACGGGAGGAAGCAGUAGGGAAUCCUCCGCGAUGGGCGAAAGCCUAACGGAGCAACGCCGCGUGAGUGAUGAAGCUCUUCGGAUCGUAAAACUCUGUUAUCAGGGAAGAACAAAUGUGUAAGUAACUAUGAACGUCUUGACGGUACCUAAUCAGAAAGCCCCGGCUAACUACGUG